rnacentral:lncRNA from 1 species
GAUAGUUGAGAAAUUUAGUAUCUUAGUAAUUUUUAGCUGUUAUUGUGGAAGACCUCCAAGACAAGAUAAGGUACCCUUGAACAUGUGGUUUUAAUGAUAUGCCAUGUUACUAUCAAUGGUGUGUCAUAAAUGGGCAUUAACAUUCUAAAUCACCUGGUUUGGAGAAUGUGUUAGCAGCAUAGCUAUGUUCAACUAAGGAAAUGGCUAAAUACCAGAAGUUUCCAGAGCCUUGGAACAGAUUUACAGGGGAACUCUAUAUGUAUGUGUAUAUUUU